AUGCAAGUCGAACGGGAUCGGGAGGGUAGCAAUAUCUCCCGUGAGAGUGGCGGAUUGGGAGGAACACGUGAGCAACCUGCCCUGGAGAUGGGGAAACCGUUGGAAACGACGGCUAAUACCGAAUGUUGCGCCGGAGGGCAUCUCCGAGCGCGAAGGGGCCGCAAGGCUCCCGCUCCGGGAUGGGCUCGCGCACCAUCAGCUAGUUGGCGGGGUAACGGCCCACCAAGGCUCACGGUUAGCUGGUCUGAGAGGAUGGCCAGCCCCACUGGGACUGAGAUACUGCCCAGACUCCUACGGGAGGCUGCAGUCGAGGAUCAUUUGCAAUGGGCGAAAGCCUGACAAUGCGACGCUGCGUGGAGGAUGGAGGCCUUCGGGUUGUAAACUCCUGUCAUGGGGGAACAGGCGAGGAUACCUAACACGUAUCUUAGUUGAGUGUACCCCAAGAGGAAUUGGCGGCUAACUCUGUGCCAGCAGCCGC
rnacentral:rRNA from 1 species